rnacentral:rRNA from 1 species
UAGGUGGCGAGCGUAUCCGGAAUAUUGGGCGUAAAGGGUGCGUAGGCGGUUCAUUAAGUCUGUGGUUAAAGUGCGGGGCUCAACCCCGUAUAGCCAUGGAAACUGGUGAACUAGAGUGCAGGAGAGGGCAGUGGAAUUCCAUGUGUAGCGGUAAAAUGCGUAGAUAUAUGGAGGAACACCGGUGGCGAAGGCGGCUGCCUGGCCUGUAACUGACGCUGAGGCACGAAAGCGUGGGGAGCAAAUAGGAUUAGAUACCCUAGUAGUCCACGCCGUAAACGAUGAUUACUAAGUGUUGGAGAAAUUCAGUGCUGCAGUUAACGCAAUAAGUAAUCCGCCUGGGGAGUAUGCACGCAAGUGUGAAACUCAAAGGAAUUGACGGGACCCCGCACAAGCGGUGGAGUAUGUGGUUUAAUUCGAAGCAACGCGAAGAACCUUACCAGGUCUUGACAUGGUGUUUAAGGCCCUAGAGAUAGGGAGAUAAUAAACACACACAGGUGGUGCAUGGUUGUCGUCAGCUCGUGUCGUGAGAUGUUGGGUUAAGUCCCGCAACGAGCGCAA